CUCUGACCUCCUCUGCUCUCGGCUCCACCUGUCAGCCACUCAGACAUCAGGAGCUGGAAGAGAAACGACCAGGAUGGACGCUCCACUCUCCGAGGAGCCACCUGAUGGACAUGCAGCCGUGGGAGGGAGUCAACUGACUGAAUAUAACUCACGUCCAAGAAUGGAUUCUUCUGAUCAUCUUCUGAAACAACAAACGCUGUGAGUCCCUGCAGGGAAUUCCUCUCUCCGCCUGUGGUUUCUGCUUUAUUCCAGCAUCUCUGUAGUAAAAGCUCAGAUCGAUGUGUGCGCCGCUGCUGCAGCAACGUCACCUGUGCUUCUACUAAAAGCCUCGGCGUUUUCCCAGGAGUCACCUCACUGCAGAGGUAGAGGGGGGUGCGGGUGAGGGGGGGCCCCAAGGAAUAACAAGGGAUUCAAACCGGAAAAAAAGGGAAUAAUGUGUGAAUCGAUUAAAACUGUGGAUCAUCAGGGAAAAGAGAGAGAGAGAAGAAAUGCCCAGGCCAUAGGUGAGGAAAAAAAUGAUGUAAUGACAGACUUGUACUCCAACGGAUUCUUACAUACGUCUAAAUUGACCUUUAGAGAAGAUGACUAUUUGUAAACUGGAUGACUUGGACUGAGAAAGACAUGAUUGAAAGAAAGACUGAUGUGUGAUGUGUGAAGUCCUACUUGAACAUAACUGACCUGACUGCUGUAUAAACUAAGUCAGUUCUGAGCCCAGUGAUCAACCUGCCGUCUUCUUCUACAGCCUCACAGCUGACCAUGAAUAACCUCAUCCACGUUUGUACACAAUACACUGUAUGGUGUAUGGACCAGAACCUGGUUUACACAUCUCAGCAGUCCGUAGAUAAAAAAAAACAACAAAAAACACUGACUCAGUCGAACUGAUCCUUAAAUCAAUCACGUCCACCACUCUGCCAUCAUCUUCCCAGAUCCCAGACUAAUCCAUAAAUAAUUCAUGCUACAGAUUCCAUUAUGGGCUCAUUGAUAUAAAAGCAGUGCGAGUGUGUGUCCGUCAAAAAACCAACGACCCGCUGCUCUCUGCCUGCUCCUGUUCUUUAAUUGAGCUUUCAGGAGAAAAUAAAUAAAACAAAAGUUUUCAUUUUUAAUUUUUGCUUCUGUGAACGACAAACUCCAACUCAAGAAGAAGAAGGAGACGUUCCUGCAGCCUCUCGUACCUCCACCAGCCUUUACAUUCUUUCUGAAGGAAACUGAACUCGGGGAUUGAACCAGCAUUGGCGGUUAAUCAUGACAGGAGAACCUUUGCCGUCAAUAACAGUAAACCAAAAAAAAGGAGGAUGGAGCUGAGGGCAGCAGAAUAGAAAUGUGAUGGAUUCCUCAGAGAAAGAGACGUCAGAGGUGAUUUCUUCUUCUUGACCAUGUCCGGCGUUUCUGGCCUCAGUUCAUGCUCACACACACUCUGGGCUGAACAACAGCAGCAGCUCUGUGCCAUCCAUCCACUGUCUCCGGCUUUUAUUAUCUGCUGCUCUGAUAGCAGCGCUGUCACACACAGGCAUAAAUUUUCAGACCAUUUACUGGGAGGAGGCGGCGGCAGAUAACUGGAUGUAAAGAAAAUCGUGGAGAGUAAUUUGAUCUCUGAGCUCAUUAGUAAACAACAUGUUGAAUGUCUGACUUUUGUUUAUCUCUACGCUGAUGUUGGAUAUUUUUCAUUAUUUCCUGUUUAAGGUUCAAGGAGACACAAAUAAACCUGUGUCACUGGGUAAAAGACACAAACGAUAAAGGACGAAAAAGGACAGCGAAAUGGAAAGAAGAUGAACGGCAGGGAGACACUGCUGCCUCCUGUGGCCGAUCGAUGUCACUGAGGAAACAAAGAGACGACACUGAGACGCUGCAGAGUUCUCUGGAGACCUGCGGACGGACAGACGUGAAGGACGGACUGGACCUGGAUCAGUACAGCUCACAUAUCAGCCUGCCCACACACACACACACACACACACACACACACAUACAAUUUGUGUUGCUCCUGGUCUGGGUCUGGGUCUUGAAGGAAUCUCUCUCUGGUUUUAAAACCACAGUGGGGCUUCAAGAUACGAGCUCCCCGAAAUAUGAGUUUUCCAAAUUACAAAAAAGAGCUGAGCCGCAGCAGCACCAUCACAGCACGGAGACACAGUUAAAGAGAAGAAGAAGAAGAAGAAACAGCUCCACAGACGUCAGAGCGUCACUGAGGUUGGUUCCACUCAAUCACUUCCUGUUUCUACAGCCCACCACAGACCACAGUCUCACACUGGGGUCUGUGGUGGAUGUAGACUUAUUUGGACUCCAGGGGGUCAAAGGUCACGAUGUGGUGAUAUUCUGCUAAAAAUCUACCUUUUUGAACGGAAAAAGCCAGUACUAAUGAGCCAGGUGCUCGUUCACUCGUGUGUUCGUGUGCGUGUGUGCGUGCAUCCGCGCAUCGACGGCCCAAUCCGUUUUUUUUCAUUUAUUCACCUCGCCCCACAGAAUUCAAAUAGUAAGUUGGUAAACCCUGCCCACCCACUGCCAAUCACAUGAAGUGAAAAGUUCCCUUUGAACAUCACCACUUGUCCUUGACGUUCAGCAACAGCGAACGUGUUGUAACGUCCACACACUGACGAACUGCUGACCUUUAUCUGUCAGGCUACACCGCUAACCACUGAACCACUGUACAGGAGCAUCUACAGAGCCACGUGGGACCAAGUGGCUUCACUUCAUUUUGGUGUGCACACCAACAAAGACUGAUGUCCGGUCUACAUGCCGAUGUGUCCCUGGGCCCCAUCAGACCCUGCCACGAGGAGUCCCAGUCUGGGUCUGAGACUGCUGGACUAGGAGGAGAUUUUGAGGUGAACCACAGACUCAGACACAAGGCUACGGCCUCAUCACAACCAGUUUUUGGUCUUCGUCAGGACCAAGGUUUGGACUACACCAAGACUGGGUUCUGGUGUAAAUCAGGACCAGGUUUACAUUGUUGUCAGGACCAGGACUUGGUCUCCAGCAGGACAAGGUUCUGGUCCUAAAACCCUCCAGCACCCCAACCCCUUUGUGCCUCCUUCUUCACUCUGCUUUUUGUUAAACAACCUUUUUUUUUUUCCUUAACUUCUUCAUACGUCACACACAUGCACACUCUGACCGUGCGUGUAGACGCGCACACGUUGCGUGGGGGAAUGUUGAGGGGGAGGAUAAGAUGGGGGAGGAGCAGCGCCUCCUUUUCUCCUCAGUCACCAAAGUAAACAGCGUUAACAUGCAGCACGCGUUACUCUCGCGCGCGCGCACGCUCAAGGCUGCUUGCAGGAGCAAUCGCGCACACGCUUCUUUCUCUAUAUAUUUAUUACUCCUGCGCGCGUGCCCGUGCGUGCUUGUGCGCGCACCAGCACAGCAGCAGGACACGCGUGAUUCAUACGCACCCCCUCAUCAUUAGCAUUCACCUCCACGAACAGUGUGUUCACGCACAAAUGAAAGAUGAAGCCGCGUGUGCGUGUAGACCACGAGCGGUCGCGUCCACGGAGUGAAGGAAAGUAGCAGGAGAAAUAGAAAAACACAUGAAUCUACCUGCGG